AAUCUUCCGCAAUGGACGAAAGUCUGACGGAGCACUGCCGCGUGAGUGAUGAAGGUUUUCGGAUCGUAAAACUCUGUUGUUAGGGAAGAGCAAGUACGACAGUAACUGGUCGUACCUUGACGGUACCUAACCAGAAAGCCCCUGCUAACUCCGUGCCAUCAGCCGCGGUAAUACGUAGGGGGCAAGCGUUGUCCGGAAUUAUUGGGCGUAAAGCGCGCGAAGGCGGUCCUUUAAGUCUGAUGUGAAAGCCCACGGCUUAACCGUGGAGGGUCAUUGGAAACUGGAGGACUUGAGUACAGAAGAGGAGAGUGGAAUUCCAUGUGUAGCGGUGAAAUGCGUAGAUAUAUGGAGGAACACCAGUGGCGAAGGCGACUCUCUGGUCUGUUACUGACGCUGAGGCGCGAAAGCGUGGGGAGCAAACA
rnacentral:rRNA from 1 species